rnacentral:rRNA from 1 species
CUUGAUUCAAGAGUGACGGGCGAUUUGUGCAUGUAUAAUAACAUUUUCUUAUGGUAUUUUUAUUUACAUUAAUAUUUAUAAGUCCUAUUUUUCUAGAUUUUCUCUUACGUUUCAAUCAUUAAUUUUAUUUGUAUCCCGCCUAUUCUAACAUAUUUCCUCUGUAUUGAUUUGUUUUUUGAUUCAAUAUUAAUAAAUUAAACUCUAGCCUUUAAUUUUUAAACAAUGAUAUAGAGGGUCAUAAUCUUAGUAAGGUUUAUCGUGGGUUAUCUAUAAUUAGGUAGGAUCCCCUACUUUGAUUAGACACCGCCAUGUUUCUUAGAUUUUUCUUUUGUAGAUACUAUCUAUUUCUUUUCCUAAAA